UCGUGCCGCUCACCUCAAAUGGAUUAGCUGGACAUGUCGUGAGACUGGUUCUACUUGGCGUAAUAAGUAUUUCGCUGAGGACAUCCCUUUGUUGGGAUGGCCAGGGCUCUGGUGGCAAAGCGUUUGCUCCCUAACCCCACCUUCGGGUGAACUUUCUAUGAUCUGGCCUCAAAUCAGGUAGGACUACCCGCUGAACUUAA
rnacentral:misc_RNA from 1 species